UUGAAUUAUUUUAAUGAAUGCAAUGUACCACGUUAAUACCUAAUCCUUCGCCAAAUAACCCACAAGGGAGAGCCAGUCAAUUAAUCUUAUCAAGUUGUGAACUUUGUAAGAUUUCCCUGGCAAUUGCCUAUGUUGAGGUCUGAUCAAACACAACCCAAUGAAGCACCCAUCUUUUCCAGCAUCCCGCUCCAAAAACCGCACCCACCAUGCACGCAGUUGAUUGCACUAAUUGGCAAAGAGCGUGACGAUCGCUGGCGAUGGACAUCAGCGACUGGACAACGCUGAUGGGGAGUUCAUGGGGAGCUGGAUGAGACAAUGAGACAAGAUUUUCAUUCAUAAAACACUCGCUGAGUGGACCGGAAGUUCUUAUUUGAUUGCAAAUUGUGAUAGGUUCCAAGAAAGGGUAAACUGGAGCAUUUCAAAAUCCUAUUCAUAAUUAAAACUUAAAAACAAAAUUUGUUGAGAGAUUUGCUCCUAUUUAAAUAAUACAAAAAAUGUUUAUUUUUUUGAACUGCAAAAUAGUUUAAAACAUAAGAAAAAAUAGUUGUUUCAAUUUUAGAUUGUUAAUGUAUUAACACAAUAAACAUUAUUAUGAUUUAUUUGAACCUA